rnacentral:tRNA from 1 species
CGGGAUAUAGCACAGUUUGGUAGCGCACCUGCUUUGGGAGCAGGAUGUCGCAGGUUCAAAUCCUGCUAUCCCGA